AUUGAACGCUGGCGGCAGGCCUAACACAUGCAAGUCGAGCGAGCGGCGGAGGGGGGAGUAAUGUCUGGGAAACUGCCCGAGGGGGGGGGAUACCUACAGGAAAAGGUAGCUCAUACCGCAUAACAUAUGAUGUGACCAGAUGGGAGUAGCUAGUAGGUGGGGGAACGGCUCACCUAGGCGCCGAUCCCUAGCUGGUCUGAGAGGAUGACCAGCAACACUGGAACUGAGACACGGUCCAGACUCCUACGGGAGGCAGCAGUGGGGAAUAUUGCACAAUGGGCGCAAGCCUGAUACAGCCAUGCCGCGUGUGUGAAGAAGGCCUUCGGGUUGUAAAGCACUUUCAGCGGGGAGGCGUUACUCGCAGAAGAAGCACCGGCUAACUCCGUGCCAGCAGCCGCGGUAAUAC
rnacentral:rRNA from 1 species